ensembl:lncRNA novel transcript
AAACGGGGGCCGGGCGGGCGCCAGUUUCAUUCAAAAUAUGAUUCAGGGGAACCGCCAUCUUCCAGUAAUUCACCAAAAUGAUGAACACAAAGUGAAAGAGGAGAGGCACCCGAUAUAUGUUCUCCAGGAGUUUUAGAAAACAUGGAGUUGUUCCUUUGGCCGUGCACAGGCGAAUCUAGAAGAAAGGUGAUAUUAUAGACAUCAAGGGAAUGAGUACUGUUCAAAAAGGAAUGCCCCACAGGUGUCACCAUGGCUAAACUGGAAGAGUCUACAAUGUUCCCCAGCAUGCUGUUGGCAUUUGUUGUAAACAAACAAGUUAAGGGCAAGAUUCUUGCCAAGAGAAUUAAUGUGUGUAUUGGGCAUGUUAAGCACGUGAAGAGCCAAGAUAGCUUCCUGAAACAAGUGAAGGAAAAUUAUCAGAAAACUAAAGAAGACAAAGAGAAAAGUACCUGGGGUUCAACUGAAGUGCCAGCCUGCACUGCCCAGAAAAGCACACUUCGUGAGAACCAGUAGGAAGAAGCCUGAGGUGCU